GCCGACGUAGCUCAGUUGGUAGAGCAGCUGAUUCGUAAUCAGCAGGUCGUCAGUUCAAUUCUGAUCGUCGGCUCCA
rnacentral:tRNA from 1 species